rfam:Oryza glumipatula chromosome 4, whole genome shotgun sequence.
UUUAAGUGUGAUCAUAAGUUUUCGCGACCAACUUUGAUCGUCCGUCUUAUUUAAAAUUUUUUUUGUAAUUAGUUUUUUUUAUGAGAUGAUAAAAUAUGAACAAUACUUUACUCCUGACUUAUGUUUUUAUUUUUUAAAAAAAAUUAAAUAAAACAGACGGUUAAAGUUAGACACGGAAAAUCAUGGCUGCAAUUGAA